CGCAGACAAACGCAGGGUUUGUAGAGGUCGCCGGCAACGGUGGCAGCCCGAACGGGUGGGAUCCUCGAACUUGGGGUCUGCAAACAG
rnacentral:sRNA from 12 species